rnacentral:rRNA from 1 species
GUAGUAGCAAAUACUCAAGCGAGACCCUUGAGGACUGACGUGGAGAAGGGUUUCGUGUGAACAGCCGUUGCACACGAGUCAGUCGAUCCUAAGCCCUAGGAGAAAUCCGAUGUAUGCGGGCCGGCGGCCCGAGGGCGAAAGGGAAUCCGGUUCCUAUUCCGGAACCCGGUAGCGGAACCGCCUCACGCCGGGCCUCCCUGAGGGAGGCUCAUGUGGUAACACAAACGAACCCGGAGAAGCCGUCGGGAGGUCGGGGAAGAGUUUUCUUUUCUGUAUGAGCGUUCGAGUUCCCUGGAAUUCUCUAGCAGAGAGAUAGGGUUUGGAACGCGAAGAGCACCGCAGUUGCGGCGGUGUCCCGAUCGUCCCCUCGGACCUUGAAAAUCCGGGGGAGAGCUACGUGGAGAUUCGCGCCGGUUCGUACCCAUAUCCGCAGCAGGUCUCCAAGGUGAAGAGCCUCUAGUCGGUAGAAUAAUGUAGGUAAGGGAAGUCGGCAAAUUGGAUCCGUAACUUCGGGAUAAGGAU